GGCAGAAUGGCCGAGUGGUCUAAGGCGCCACGUUUAGGACUUACCUAAGCAUCCUCCGUGGUCUGAAAGGGCGUGGGUUCGAAUCCCACUUCUGUCA